GAUGAACGCUAGCUACAGGCUUAACACAUGCAAGUCGAGGGACCGGCGCACGGGUGAGUAACACGUAUCCAACCUGCCCUUUACUCGGGGAUAGCCUUUCGAAAGAAAGAUUAAUACCCGAUAUAAAGGAUGGGGAUGCGUUCCAUUGGGUUGUUGGUGAGGUAAAGGCUAGCCAAGACUUCGAUGGAUAGGGGUUAUGAGAGGAAGCACCCCCACGUUGGAAACGCGGCACAGACCAAUAUCCUACGCGACACAGCGGAGAAGAAUAUAGGGCAAUGAGCCCUAGCCUUGACCUGCCAAGUAGCGUGAAGGGUUAAGGGUUUUGGGUCGUCAACUUCUUUGAUAUAAGAAUAUGUAUUAUAUGAAUAAGGAUCGGCUAACUCCGUGCCAGCAGCCGCGGUAAUUC
rnacentral:rRNA from 1 species